UUCGUAGGCGGUGCGGCAAGUCGGGAGUGAAAUCUCUGGGCUUAACUCAGAGGCUGUUUCCGAAACUGCCGCGCUCGAGUGCGGGAGAGGCCAGUGGAAUUGCAGGUGUAGCGGUGAAAUGCGUAGAUAUCUGCAGGAACACCCGUGGCGAAGGCGGCUGGCUGGACCGCAACUGACGCUGAGGAACGAAAGCUAGGGGAGCAAACAGGAUUAGAUACCCUGGUAGUCCUAGCCCUAAACGAUCAGGACUUGGGGUGCAUCCCGUUGGGGGUGCGUCCCGUAGCUAACGCGUUAAGUCCUGCGCCUGGGGAGUACGGUCGCAAGGCUGAA
rnacentral:rRNA from 1 species